AGUCUGUAAUUCUGCCAGUUUACAAUGCUGAGUGCUGGCUGGAUGAAUGUUUGAAGUCUGUUCUGGAGCAAGACUUCCAAGGAUCCAUUGAACUCUCUGUGUUUAAUGAUGCUAGUACGGAUAAUUCAAUAAAUAUAAUAGAAAAAUGGAAGAUCAUUUUUGAAGAUGUGGGCAUUCGUGUAGUGCUUAGAGAAAAUUCUUCAGCUCAGCCCUGUGGAGCAUCUAUUUAGUCUCGGAGUUUGGCCAGCCAUAUUUCAGGUUCAGUGCCUUUUGAUACAACACUUCCUCCAUCUUGAGGGAGAGAGAGGCAGGCUAGCUCCACCAGGCCUGCCUGGAAGAAGACAAGCCC